CGGGGUAUAGCGUAGUCCGGUUAUCGCGCGUCGUUUGGGACGACGAGGUCGCAGGUUCGAAUCCUGCUACCCCGA
rnacentral:tRNA from 1 species